UCCCAGAUAGUCCAGGCGGUUAUGAUAGCUGGCUCUCACCCAGCAGACCCGGGUUCGGGUCCUGGUGUGGGAA
rnacentral:tRNA from 1 species